rnacentral:rRNA from 1 species
UACGUAGGGUGCAAGCGUUAAUCGGAAUUACUGGGCGUAAAGCGUGCGCAGGCGGUUUUGUAAGACUGUCGUGAAAUCCCCGGGCUCAACCUGGGAAUGGCGAUGGUGACUGCAAGGCUAGAGUUUGGCAGAGGGGGGUAGAAUUCCACGUGUAGCAGUGAAAUGCGUAGAUAUGUGGAGGAACACCGAUGGCGAAGGCAGCCCCCUGGGUUAACACUGACGCUCAUGCACGAAAGCGUGGGGAGCAAACAGG